rnacentral:misc_RNA from 1 species
GUAUUUUAUAGUGUAUUUUGACAUUCGAGACUUGGUUGUAAGAUGUGUAAAGCGGAGGCGACGUUUCCGUCGCCACCGAGAAGGUGCACAGGUGUGAGGGGUUCAACGGCGUGCAGCCGAAGCGCACAGCCGGAGAAGAGAGCCGAAGCCCGUUAAUCUUUAAUGAUCCUUCCGCAGGUUCACCUACGGAAA